CAUAGGGUGAAUCUCGGCCCUCCAAAACAAAUCCAACGGCUGAGAUUUGUCCACGUCAUCACAAGUUAAAAUUUAACUCGCAGAUGUACUCAAAAGUAAAAAUUUUGCUGGGAGUAAAAUUUUAGGAGUACUGUAAGUUAAAUUUUAACUCGUGAUGACGUGGACGAGUCUCAGCCGUUGGAUUUGUUUUUGAGGGUCGAGAUUCACCCUAUG
rnacentral:pre_miRNA from 1 species